AUACGGGGGAUGCAAGCGUUAUUCGGAAUCAUUGGGCGUAAAGGGCACGCAGGCGGUUCUGUCAGUCAGAUGUGAAAGCCCGGGGCUUAACCCCGGACGUGCAUUUGAAACAGCAGGACUUGAGUAUGGUAGAGGAAAGCGGAAUUCCUGGUGUAGAGGUGAAAUUCGUAGAUAUCAGGAGGAACACCGGUGGCGAAGGCGGCUUUCUGGACCAAAACUGACGCUGAGGUGCGAAGGCGUGGGUAGCGAACAGGAUUAGAAACCCGAGUAGUCC
rnacentral:rRNA from 1 species